rnacentral:rRNA from 1 species
GAUGAACGCUCGUGGGAGGCCUAACACAUGCAAGCCGAGCGGUAGAGUUCCUUCGGGAACUUGAGAGCGGCGUACGGGUGCGUAACACGUGUGCAACCUACCUUUAUCUGGGGGAUAGCCUUUCGAAAGGAAGAUUAAUACCCCAUAAUAUAAUGAUUGGCAUCAAUUAUUAUUGAAAACUCCGGUGGAUAGAGAUGGGCACGCGCAAGAUUAGAUAGUUGGUGAGGUAACGGCUCACCAAGUCAAUGAUCUUUAGGGGUCCUGAGAGGGAGAUCCCCCACACUGGGACUGAGACACGGACCAGACUCCUACGGGAGGCAGCAGUGAGGAAUAUUGGACAAUGGGUGAAAGCCUGAUCCAGCCAUCCCGCGUGAAGGAUGACGGUCCUAUGGAUUGUAAACUUCUUUUGUACAGGGAUAAACCUACUCUCGUGAGGGUAGCUGAAGGUACUGUACGAAUAAGCACCGGCUAACUCCGUG